CGUUCUUGCUGGGAGGUCCAGGGUCCGAGCUGGCCCUUUGAGGAGUUGCAGAAGAUAGGUUCCUUCCUUCGCCCCACCCUGGUCCUCGCCGUUCUCACCGCGCACCGCCGGCUUCGUGAGCCCAGUCACUCCUCUCACCCAGCUCUGGGAAAAGGAAUCCUGUCCUAGUUCACAAAGUGUGAUGGACAAAUUCCAAAAGGCUGUGUGUUUGUGACCCGGAUUACUUCUGCAAGAAUUUUGGUGUUCUACUUCCCUCUGCUGGAUAAA